AUUGAACGCUGGCGGCAUGCUUUACACAUGCAAGUCGAACGGUAACAGGGUGCUUGCCCCGCUGACGAGUGGCGAACGGGUGAGUAAUGCAUCGGAAUGUACCGUGUAAUGGGGGAUAGCUCGGCAAAAGCCGGAUUAAUACCGCAUACGCCCUGAGGGGGAAAGUGGGGGACCGAAAGGCCUCACGUUAUACGAGCAGCCGAUGUCUGAUUAGCUAGUUGGUGAGGUAAAGGCUCACCAAGGCGUCGAUCAGUAGCGGGUCUGAGAGGAUGAUCCGCCACACUGGGACUGAGACACGGCCCAGACUCCUACGGGAGGCAGCAGUGGGGAAUUUUGGACAAUGGGCGCAAGCCUGAUCCAGCCAUGCCGCGUGUCUGAAGAAGGCCUUCGGGUUGUAAAGGACUUUUGUCCGGGAGCAAAUCCUAGUGGUUAAUAACCGCUGGGUCUGAGAGUACCGGAAGAAUAAGCACCGGCUAACUACGUG
rnacentral:rRNA from 1 species